GCGGUCGUGGCGGAAUUGGCAGACGCGCAGGAUUUAGGAUCCUGUGAGGCAACUCGUGGAGGUUCGAUCCCUCUCGACCGCACCA
rnacentral:tRNA from 1 species